rnacentral:rRNA from 1 species
AAUGAACGUUGGCGGCGUGGAUUAGGCAUGCAAGUCGCGCGAUUUCCUUCGGGGAAGAGCGGCGGAAGGGAGAGUAACGCGUAGAUACCUACCCUCGGGACCGGAAUAGCGACGGGAAACUGCCGGUAAUGCCGGAUAACGUCCCUGGACCAAAGGUGUGAAUCCGCCUGAGGAGGGGUCUGCGUCCUAUUAGCUAGUCGGCGGGGUAACGGCCCACCGAGGCGAAGAUGGGUACCGGGCGUGAGAGCGUGACCCGGCUCACUGGGACUGAGACACUGCCCAGACACCUACGGGUGGCUGCAGUCGAGAAUCUUCGGCAAUGAGCGCAAGCUUGACCGAGCGACGCCGCGUGCGGGAUGAAGGCUUUCGGGUUGUAAACCGCUGUCAGUGGGGAGGAAAUUCUUGGGGGAACUCCCCCUUGAUUGACCGAUCCGCAGAGGAAGGACGGGCUAAGUUCGUGCCAGCCGCCGCCGUAACAC